UACGUAGGGGGGCAAGCGUUGUCCGGAUUUAUUGGGCGUAAAGAGCGUGUAGGCGGCUUGGUAGGUCCGCUGUGAAAACUCGAGGCUCAACCUCGAGAUGUCGGCGGAAACCACUUGGCUAGAGUCCGGAAGAGGAGAGUGGAAUUCCCCGGUGUAGCGGUGAAAUGCGCAGAUAUCGGGAAGAACACCUAUGGCGAAGGCAGCCUCUCUGGGACGGUACUGGACGCUGAGACGCGAAAGCGUGGGAGCGAACAGG
rnacentral:rRNA from 1 species